GCCUUGUAUAAGUGGUCCUCUCUUUCCAUUCUAUUCAUGUGCAUAGUAGCUGUUAUAAACUCAAUGUAAUCAAUUGUUCCAUUUCCAUCCACAUCGGCAGCUUCCAUUAAUUGUUUAACUUCAGUUUCAGAGAGCCUUGACCCAAGUCGAGCUAAACCUGUCUUCAGCUCUUCAUAGGUGAUUGUGCCACUCUUGUCAGUGUCCAUGUUUGUGAACAUUGCUUUAAGACCUUUAAUUUCUUCUUCAGAGAGAUUUUCAGCAAUAACCUUUAAUGCUAGCUUCUUGAGCUUAUUCAUUGCCCUGAAUUGCUUCAUUCUAGAGAGAACUGCACUAUCUAUUGGCUUGUCUGAUGCUGCACCUCCAUCUUUAAUCCAUGGAUGGUCAAGAACUUGUGCUGAAGUAAUUCGCCUUUUUGGGUCCUGAGUCAGCAUUCUCCUGACCAGAUCUUUGGCACUGUCAGAUAUUGAUGGCCAUGGUGAACUUUCAAAAUCAAUGUAUCCUUCUAGAAUAGCAUCAAAUAUUCCUUUUUCAGUUUCAGCCCAAAAUGGAGGUACACCACUGAGUAGAAUAUACAAAAUAACUCCUGCACUCCAAAUAUCUAUUUCCUUUCCAUAACUACGCCUCAAUACUUCAGGAGCAACAUAAUAAGCACUACCAACUAUAUUACGGUAUGUUUUCCCUUCCUCAAUGAACACAGACAGUCCAAAAUCAGUGGUCUUCAACAUUGCUCCCUCAUCCUUGCUAGCCAGCAAGAAAUUCUAUGGCUUGAAAUACAUUUUUGAAAAAUCCACCUUCAUCAACAGGCAUUGAGCUUCUCUUUUCCGCAGACUAAUCCAUCAUAACCUCAUCCAAAUCAUUCCUUUUUACUAAACCUUCAUUAUUCAUGGAAUUUAGCAAUGAACCACUGGUCAUUUCUUGAGAUUUAUCAUUCCAUUGUAAUCUCCCCUGCAAGUCCUAAUUCAUUACCGCCAUUUCAGGUUCAUUACUCUUCUGUGUCUCCUCUACACACACUGAAGACACUUCAUUAUCUUUCUCUUGAACAAGCUCCACAUUUCCAUUUAUUUUCCUUCCCAAAAGAGGAACUAAUUCGAUCAAGCCAACCUUUGCCUCUUCGCAUCUCCACUUCCCAAUUCCCCCAAAUCCAUCACUUUUCAACAUUCCUGGCCUCCUUUGAUUCUGUAUUUUCAGCAGACUCCUCUUCUAACUGCAUACUAUCAACUGAAUCCAGUGUCAUAACAUCAAAAAGAAAAGAUUCACAAGUUUCAGCAGCUAUAAAUUGAGAUUCAGACUUAAGUUUGACUGGAUCCGAAAUCACAGCAUUCACUUUUUCUGCAAUCUCUAGAUGCUCAUCUUCUUUUUCACAAGUUUCAACAGCUACAAAUUGUGAUUCAUUUGAUUUUCUAGCUCACUUGCACCCUGAAUUUGCACAAACUCCUGUUGAUCUUCUUCUUCAUUAAUGAUGGUCACAAAUAAUGGGGCCUUAGAAUGAUUGUGGCUCACUGAAUAAGUUUCUUCAGACUACAAACAGAAACCCUUGCAUCUUCUAUCAUUCAAUUCCAACAAUGUUCUUGUGAUUUCAAAAGGAAAAUGGUCCAUGGUUCUUGUUGCAGACGAGAAAUGGAACAACAGGGAAAGAUGAAAGAAAAUGGAAUUAAGGAAAGGUUCAACAAAAGAAAGUUGAAAAAAAGAAUUGGCUCAAGAAAUUCCAGAGAGAACAAGAAAGAGUAGAACAAGAAAUUCAAUAAAUUUAGAGAUGGAAAAGAGAGAGAAAUUUCAGGGAAAGAAACCUAAUUCCAUUCUUGAGAGCAACUUUCAAUCCAUGGCCAAGAAUAAACCAGCUCUGAUACCAUUGUUGCGAAUCUCAUAGAAAUGAAGAAAGGAAGACAGAGAGAGACUCAGAGAAGAAAGAAAGAGAAUCUCAGAGGGAAAAAGAAGAGUCUUAAGUCUGUAAUUCUAUUCAUAACCCUCAUUCUACAAACUCUGCUCCUUAUAUCAAGAAGCUUUACAAGUUUAACAACUAAUCUUUACAAACUAACUUGUAACUGCUCUUAUCAAUACAUGCCACAUAUACAUCUUAUUCACCAAGUGAUCUUAACACCCACCCACCAUUGCACGUUGCCACGUAAACAUUUGCAUCAGCUUUGUAUCAAUACCCCCCAUCAAAGUUGCUUAUCCUCAAGAAAGAAAUCUGGAAAUUGCAGGUGAAGGUCAUUAGCAAAUAACUGAGCAGCAGCAGCAUCAUGCUGACAUUCCACCUUACAACAACCCAAAAUUGCUUGAAGAAAAGCACAAACAAGACCAUAGUUGCCUUAGCCUGGCCCCAUAAAUGCUUGACUUGCAAGCUGCAGCUGUUACAUUUAUUCUUCUUUUGUUUCCACCAACUUUACCAAAGCACAAACUUCUCAAUUGACAAAGAAUUGAAUUCAGUGGCAGUCUUACAAACACCUGCUGAGCAUCCUUUCUCCACCCAUUUAACUUCAUUUUAAUUCUCUGUUUUCUCCAUUUUUUGUAUUCAUUUUGUUUUAAGAGUAUAACAGCAUCCUUGGCAAUUUCCCUAGCCCUCCACUCAUCAGCUUCAUAAUGAUCUUGAUCAAAUUGUUCAUUCUCCAUUGCCCGCAUUUCGGCAACACGUUUUCUUUCUCUUCCUCCAAAGUUUGUUUCGCUCAGACUCUAGCAUUUCAUCAGACAAUCUAAUUGCUGCUAAUUUUUCCUUCCAAGGCCCAUCAAUUUUAUUCUUUGCUGCAUUAUCUAACACAAUGCCCUGACAACUGCACGUAAGGUUGCUCUUAAAGAUCAAUCGAGCUUGCAUUAGUUCCUCCAUGUCAUUCCACAAUUCCAGCAACCCUUGUUUCACCAGACUAUGAAAUACUCUGCUAUUUGGAAGAAAAGUCCUGAAGGAAUUGAGGAUUUGAAGAGAAAGAG
rnacentral:misc_RNA from 1 species